rnacentral:rRNA from 1 species
GACGAACGCUGGCGGCGUGCUUAACACAUGCAAGUCGAACGGAAAGGCCCUGCUUUUGUGGGGUGCUCGAGUGGCGAACGGGUGAGUAACACGUGAGUAACCUGCCCUUGACUUUGGGAUAACUUCAGGAAACUGGGGCUAAUACCGGAUAGGAGCUCCUGCUGCAUGGUGGGGGUUGGAAAGUUUCGGCGGUUGGGGAUGGACUCGCGGCUUAUCAGCUUGUUGGUGGGGUAGUGGCUUACAAAGGCUUUGACGGGUAGCCGGCCUGGGAGGGUGACCGGCCACAUUGGGACUGAGAUACGGCCCAGACUCCUACGGGCGGCAGCAGUGGGGAAUAUUGCACAAUGGGCGGAAGCCUGAUGCAGCAACGCCGCGUGCGGGAUGACGGCCUUCGGGUUGUAAACCGCUUUCGCCUGUGACGAAGCGUGAGUGACGGUAAUGGGUAAAGAAGCACCGGCUAACUACGUG